AUUUAAAAUCUGGCGUCUUUCAGGCGUCCGAGUUGUAAUCUACAGAAGUGUUUUCCGUGCCGGACCGUGUCCAAGUCCCUUGGAAUAGGGUAUCAAAGAGGGUGACAAUCCCGUACUUGACACGACAACCGGUGCUCUGUGAUACAUUUUCUACGAGUCGAGUUGUUUGGGAAUGCAGCUCAAAAUGGGUGGUAAAUGCCAUCUAAGGCUAAAUAUUGGGGAGAGACCGAUAGCGAACAAGUACAGUGAUGGAAAGAUGAAAAGAACUUUGAAAAGAGAGUUAAACAGUACGUGAAAUUGCCAAAAGGGAAGGGUAGGAGGUCAGAGAUGCGUCUUGGGAUUCAGCCUUGCUUUUGCUUGGUGUUUUUCCCAGAUUGCAGGCCAACGUCGGUUUUGGGCACUGGAGAAGGGUAGGAGGAACGUGGCACCUCUCGGGGUGUGUUAUAGCCUUCUACUGGAUACAGCGACCGAGACCGAGGACAGCAGCGUACUCGCAAGAGCGGGCCUUCGGGCACCUUUACGCUUAGGGCGUUGGCAUAAUGGCCCUCUACCACCCGUCUUG
rnacentral:rRNA from 1 species